GACGAACCGUGCGAACGUUAUUCGGAAUCACUGGGCUUAAAGCGCGUGUAGGCGGGACGGCACGUCGGUCGCUGAAAUCCCCCGGCUUAACCGGGGAACUGGCGUCGAUACGACCGCCCUGGAGGGGCGUAGGGGGACCUGGAACUUCCGGUGGAGCGGUGAAAUGCGUUGAGAUCGGAAGGAACGCCCGUGGCGAAAGCGAGGUCCUGGACGC
rnacentral:rRNA from 1 species